rnacentral:rRNA from 1 species
UGGGGAAUAUUGGACAAUGGGGGAAACCCUGAUCCAGCCAUGCCGCGUGUGUGAAGAAGGCCUUUUGGUUGUAAAGCACUUUAAGCAGUGAAGAAGACUCUUCGGUUAAUACCCGGAGACGAUGACAUUAGCUGCAGAAUAAGCACCGGCUAACUCUGUGCCAGCAGCCGCGGUAAUACAGAGGGUGCAAGCGUUAAUCGGAAUUACUGGGCGUAAAGGGAGCGUAGGUGGCUCGAUAAGUCAGAUGUGAAAUCCCCGGGCUCAACCUGGGAACUGCAUCUGAUACUGUUGAGCUAGAGUAUGUGAGAGGAAGGUAGAAUUCCAGGUGUAGCGGUGAAAUGCGUAGAGAUCUGGAGGAAUACCGAUGGCGAAGGCAGCCUUCUGGCAUAAUACUGACACUGAGGCUCGAAAGCGUGGGUAGCAAACAGGAUUAGAUACCCUGGUAGUCCACGCCGUAAACGAUGUCUACUAGUCGUUGGGUCCCUUGAGGACUUAGUGACGCAGCUAACGCAA